rnacentral:rRNA from 1 species
GAGUUUGAUCGUGGCUCAGAUUGAACGCUGGCGGAAUGCUUUACACAUGCAAGUCGAACGGCAGCACGGGGGCAACCCUGGUGGCGAGUGGCGAACGGGUGAGUAAUACAUCGGAACGUGCCCAGUCGUGGGGGAUAACGUAGCGAAAGCUACGCUAAUACCGCAUACGAUCUACGGAUGAAAGCGGGGGAUCGCAAGACCUCGCGCGAUUGGAGCGGCCGAUGGCAGAUUAGGUAGUUGGUGGGGUAAAGGCUCACCAAGCCGACGAUCUGUAGCUGGUCUGAGAGGACGACCAGCCACACUGGGACUGAGACACGGCCCAGACUCCUACGGGAGGCAGCAGUGGGGAAUUUUGGACAAUGGGCGCAAGCCUGAUCCAGCCAUUCCGCGUGCAGGAUGAAGGCCCUCGGGUUGUAAACUGCUUUUGUACGGAACGAAACGCGCUGUGCUAAUACCACGGCGUAAUGACGGUACCGUAAGAAU